GAACUAGGUAAAACCGGUUCGAAAUUACAACACUAAGGUAUUUUGACCACUAUUUUCAGCUGACCCUUUAAGUCUGAAAAAGAGAACUAAGCAACAAAUUCCAAUGAGUUUUAUUAUUUGUAAAUAUAUUUUUGAUUUAUGAUCAGAGAGCACGCCAUGUACGAAUCUGCGAAGCAUUAACGAAAAUAAAUUGUUGGCUAUCUCCGCCAUUUCAAAAAUUAUAUAUCUAAAGUUGCAAGGAUUGUUCAUAGACAAGAUUGAUUUUUCACAAUCAAAAUUUAAAAUUAAAGGACAAAAAGUAAUAUCAAAGGCCAACUCACUCUUGUCGAAUUUCGAAAUUACCAUUGUUCUGAGCUGUUCAGCCUACCCGACCUGCCAAUGCUCUACCAUGAAUUGUCGAGUAAUUUCAGUGAGUUGGGGCUUAAAUUAUGGUCAAUAAAUAUCAAAAUUAAAUUAUCUUUCAGAUUUUGGGUGUCUCGUUGCCUUUUUAAUGUUGCAAACUGCAUUUAGUUGACGUUGAUUACAUAGCCACCAUUGUUGUCCAUGGUCACAAUGCUCCACUAAAUAUAAUAUUUCUAAAAAACGAAGUCGAGUUGGGGUCUAAAAAAAACACCAACAUAUACGAAAUUGCAUACACUAUAACAUAUCAAAAUACUGAAACGAAACAAACGUUGGAACUUUAACCAAUCUGCUUCCGAAUCUAAAACUUAGAAUUUAUGGUACUGAACAGUUCUGAACAAAAACAUUGAUAUUUGGUAAAUAUGUCAAGAGUGGGCUUGCAAAAUGACUUCAACAAAAUGAAAAUUUUGUUUUCUUUCCUAAUAUGCAUGUUUUAUGGCAGUUGUGGUGUUGUAUUGUAUAUUUUUUUGUCUAGAAUGUACUAGGUUUCUUGCUGCUAAAGGUCACACUGUGACACUUAAUGGCAAAAUACUCAAAAACGAGACUGAGUUGGGGUCUAUUUUGAAUAGUAUACUAAAGAAGAUUAAAUUUUCUAUCUAUUGGUAUCAGUUGUGAAACAAAAUAAACGUUGCAACUUUACGAAAUUUGGUAUUGAAAACUGCCGAUCAUGAUUACACACCCGCAGUUGCCCGCAGUAAAUGCUGCUAACGAGAUAUUUGUCGCUAGCAGACGCAAGUGUUGGCAAUGGAUUGGUCGAACGGCAUUUUAUUUGCUAACAGAGAACACUUGUUUAACUUGUAGAUAAUGCCGUGUAUGCUGUUGUGUAUUUUGCACGUAUUUUGGACAAGAUUUUUCUGAUUUUAGAUUUCAUUUUGACAAAAAUGCUGUAGAUAGGUUGACGGGACUGAUAAUGAAAGGUUACGCCAAUGUUCUGCGCAUACAGUUGCUGCUUUUUGGUGCGCACACACCCCAGGCACUCCAUCUCGUCAACGCCUGAGAAGUUGGUGAAAGUGCCUCAUGCCAGGCUUGCUGGAUGGCUACUACCUGCACUUGCUAGCUGAACGGAAGCUCUUCCAACUAGCUGGCAUGGCUCUCGGCAGCUUGGCUUACGCGUGGGACGCUGCAGGCGCAAUCAUCGCCAGCCUCGCACAUGUCGAAAAUCAGGCAGACUACAUCAGCUGCUCACUGAUAUGGGCCAAAGAAGGCUCGUUGCUGGCGGUGGUUCUGGAGACAACGGUUCGAUCCAUCAGCUGUAGGACGUCACUCGGCAAGAAGUUGUGGAGUGUGAUGGUCAUCCACGCGGCGCGCGUAUCCAGUCACGUUGUCCAGAAACGAUCACAUUAUCUCCAGGUCACUCCGUGACUUGCCGGCGCUCGAGCUGACGGUGUCGCCCGAACGAAGGCUUCACGGCGACAAGUGCUGCCACCGCCUAAGACCAUCCGACUCCGAAAUGCUGAUUGCCGGGCACGAACAAGACGCUACAGGCAUUUGGGUGCAACACCUGCUCCGAGUGCCCUGUUCUGAGGCGUCAUCCGAAGAAGGCCGCAUAGUGCACUUAAGGCUGUGUUCGGGUGUUAGUGCACUGCACUGUCGGAUAGGAUCAAAUGGCAGGCCCGUCAUAAGAUCUCAGUACGAAAUUAAGAUAGUCAGAGCCGACGUGAUCGGUGGAUAGUGUGCCAGGGUUGAUUGAGCGUCCAUGAGCGUGAGACACCUGGAUCUGUGAAGGAUACGCCGAUACGUGUCCCGGAUUCGACCCCCCUCCCCCUCCGUCUCAACGGUGUUGGCUGAGAUUGGGGUAUUUUUACGGACUCGCCAAUGUCCUGCAAUUUCUGUUAUGUAAUUUGACGAUCAUGCCGUGGUCUCAUUCUGUCUCGAUAUGCUAAUAAAUGAUAAAUGUAACAGAGGUUGGAAGUAAGGUGUGAGUGGCUGUAACCGGCAGGUUUUGGCGAGCGUGAUAUUUGUAUCGUGAGGGCGCUAGCUGCAAUCAAUCGCGCGUUUUUGCUGAGCAUCCGUGAGCGAGAAAAUGCCUUCUCUGGAACCUAGCAGUUCAGCGUGAAAUCUGUGUAUCUUUGGAUUAUGUUAUCAUAACGUAAUGUAUUUUUGGUGUCCACUGCAGCUUCGGAACAGAAAUAUGGAGAUUGGCUGUUUGCUGAAGCAAGGGUAACCAAUCCGUGCCAAGAAUAAAAAACUAUGUGAAUUUAAGUAU
rnacentral:misc_RNA from 1 species